GUCGAGAAUCUUUCACAAUGGGGGCAACCCUGAUGGAGCGACGCCGCGUGGAGGAUAAGGUCUUCGGAUUGUAAACUCCUGUCAUGCGUGAACAAUGUUGCUUGGUUAAUACCUGGGCAAAUUGAUGGUAACGCAAGAGGAAGAGACGGCUAACUCUGUGCCAGCAGCCGCGGUAAUACAGAGGUCUCAAGCGUUGUUCGUAAUCACUGGGCGUAUAGGGUGCGUAGGUGGCGUGGUAAGUCGGAUGUGAAAGCCCUGGGCUCAACCUCGAAACUGCAUCCGAUACUGCCAUGCUAGAGUACUGGAGAGGUCACUAGAAUUCUCGGUGUAGCAGUGAAAUGCGUAGAUAUCGAGAGGAAUACCAAAGGCGUAGGCAGGUCACUGGACAGUUACUGACACUGAGGCACGAAGGCCAGGGGAGCGAACGGGAUUAGAAACCCCGGUAGUCC
rnacentral:rRNA from 1 species